rnacentral:misc_RNA from 1 species
UCUUCAUCAGUGAACGCGCAAGAUGGCUUUUGGUACACCACAAAGAGGCUAUUAAAUUCAUAAAAAAUGCGAUCUUUUAUUUCACUGCUCUGAGUAUCAGCAAAGACAGAACAGGUUGCUUUGGAGGAUUCACAACACUAAUAUCUAUAGUCCUCAUUGAAGAUUGUGUUUGGGUAACUGCUACUCUUGGACACAUCAGGCCUGUGAAUGAGCUUCUCCAAUGCUUCAGUCCCAUUUUCUUCAAUGUAACUCUCAGCAGUAAUUAAAAUGUCAGCUGGCUUUCUGAAGACAUCCUGCGUUCUUGGGACAUACCAUAUAUUAAUGGUUUGUUGUGGGUUAACAAAGAGAGGUCUCACAAAGUGCUCAUAAACAUAUGCAGCGCCACUGAAGUAUGGGAUCACCAACCAGCAUGUGAGAAUAAGCUUCGCAUAUGACCAGAUUGGUAUCAGAGGAUAACCAAGACUAACAACAGGCAAUGUAAAAGAGGGCUGCCGUUUUCGUCUAAAAAUUUGAGCAGCUUUUUACAAAUGAUGUCUCAUGAGUGAGCCUGAAUCUUGAAAUCUAACCUUCUUCCUUCUUAGAUGUCGUGGAUGGACAGAAUUUGAAAGACGAGCUUUGUGAAGGAAAGCAGCAACUAGGCUCGACGGCAAGACACUUGCUCACCAAGCGUCGCGCCUGGGCCGUUGAACUCCGGAAUAGUCAAUCUCCACCCAAAAAUGGUGACCGACUGAAUGAGAGGGAAGAAAGGGAUCGAAACUUCAAGGAGCGAGGGG